rnacentral:rRNA from 1 species
GAUGAACGCUGGCGGCGUGCCUAAUACAUGCAAGUCGAGCGAACAGACGCGGCUCUUGCUCCUCUCACGUUAGCCGCGGACGGGUGAGUAACACGUGGAUAACCUACCUAUCAGUCUGGUAUCACUUCGGGACACCGGCUCUUAUCCCGUAUAAUAUCUUGCUCCGCAUGGUUCAAUAGUAAAAUACGGCUUUUCUGUCACGUCUAGAUGGAUCCGCGCUUCGUUAGCUAGUUGGUAGGGUAUCGGCUUAUCAAGGGAACCCUGCGUAGCCGAGCUGAGAGGGUGAACGGCCACACAGGAACUGAGAGACGGUCCAGAGACCUACGGGAGGCAGCGGUAGGUAAGCUACCGAGAUGGGCGAAAGACUGACGGAGCAACGCAGCGUUAGUGAUGAAGGUCUGCGGAUCGGAAAACGCUGUUAGUAUGGUAGAACAAAUGUGUAAGUAACUAUGCACGUGUUGACGGUACCUAAUCAGAAGGCCACGGCUAACUACGU